CAAGUGCUCUAUCAGAGGGCCAUUAGACUGAGGCUCGUGCAUGAGGGGAUAGCAUGCUUUUACUUUCACUCUCUUUGUAAUAAAAAACGAUUUCCCAGUCAGAAUAUUAUCGCUUUUUUACGAGAAAAAUGGCAUAAAAAUAGAUUUUAAACAGCGGUUGACAUGCUUCGAAGUACGGUAAUGGAAUAUUUAGAACUUUUUUGUCACGAAAUGCGCCAUGCUCGUCACCCUUAUUUACCCUUUCGGAUAGUGUCUUGAACGCACGAACAAAACUCCGCUAUUUGGAUAUAACAAUGGAUUAUUUGGGACCAAACCAACAUUUGUUAUUGAAGUAGAAGUCCUGGGAGUGCAUUCUGAUGAAGAACAGCAAAGGUGAAGUACAGUAGAGGAUGUCAGGACAACAAGGCUGGACAAUCAAGGGUGGCUUGACCGGGUGGUUGAUGUACACAGGGACCGAGGAUUCCCCAGGCUGAGUGAUCCAGACCAUGAAAUGGCUGAGCCAGCCAUGAUACUGUUAUAUCGAGAAAACGUCUGUUUUUUCCUAGCCCUCCUGGUUUUGACUCUUGCCUGUCCUGAUGCCGAACCCGCCUGCCUGACCACUCUGCCUGUUCUGACUUCGAGCCUGCCUAUCCCCUUG
rnacentral:lncRNA from 1 species